GCGGAUGUGGCGGAAUUGGCAGACGCGCUAGAUUCAGGUUCUAGUGGUUUCACAGCCGUGCAGGUUCAAGUCCUGUCAUCCGCA
rnacentral:tRNA from 1 species